rnacentral:rRNA from 2 species
UUCAUGGAGAGUUUGAUCCUGGCUCAGGACGAACGCUGGCGGCGUGCCUAAUACAUGCAAGUCGAGCGAACCGGCGGGAGCUUGCUCCCUUAGGUUAGCGGCGGACGGGUGAGUAACACGUGGGUAACCUGCCUGUAAGACUGGGAUAACUCCGGGAAACCGGGGCUAAUACCGGAUGCUUGAUUGAACCGCAUGGUUCAA